rnacentral:rRNA from 1 species
CCUUGAAGAUCGGAGUGCUUGCACUCUGUGAAACAAGAUACAGGCUAGCGGCGGACGGGUGAGUAACACGUGGGUAACCUGCCCAAGAGAUCGGGAUAACACCUGGAAACAGAUGCUAAUACCGGAUAACAACAGAUGAUGCCUAUCAACUGUUUAAAAGAUGGUUCUGCUAUCACUCUUGGAUGGACCUGCGGUGCAUUAGCUAGUUGGUAGGGUAACGGCCUACCAAGGCGAUGAUGCAUAGCCGAGUUGAGAGACUGAUCGGCCACAUUGGGACUGAGACACGGCCCAAACUCCUACGGGAGGCAGCAGUAGGGAAUCUUCCACAAUGGACGCAAGUCUGAUGGAGCAACGCCGCGUGAGUGAAGAAGGGUUUCGGCUCGUAAAGCUCUGUUGUUGGUGAAGAAGGACAGGGGUAGUAACUGACCUUUGUUUGACGGUAAUCAAUUAGAAAGUCACGGCUAACUACGUGCCAGCAGCCGCGGUAAUACGUAGGUGGCAAGCGUUGUCCGGAUUUAUUGGGCGUAAAGCGAGUGCAGGCGGCUCGAUAAGUCUGAUGUGAAAGCCUUCGGCUCAACCGGAGAAUUGCAUCAGAAACUGUCGAGCUUGAGUACAGAAGAGGAGAGUGGAACUCCAUGUGUAGCGGUGAAAUGCGUAGAUAUAUGGAAGAACACCGGUGGCGAAGGCGGCUCUCUGGUCUGUUACUGACGCUNNNGCUCGAAAGCAUGGGUAGCGAACAGGAUUAGAUACCCUGGUAGUCCAUGCC